rnacentral:snRNA from 1 species
AUACUUACCUGGACGGGGUCAAUGGGUGAUCAGGAAGGCCCAUGGCCUAGGUAAGCGACCUCCAUUGCACUUAGAAGGGGCGCUUGCCUAAGGUCUCCCCAAGUGGGAGAGCCUACGUCAUAAUUUGUGGCAGUGGGGGCCUGCGUUCGCGCGGCCCCCGU